UUGACAGUCCCAGCACCACCUGCCCUCGUGAGAUACACGAGGUGGGGUCUUCGCCGCUUGCGGUCGUAUCUCGGAGCAUUGAGAUAUGGGAAGUGAAGACCUGCGGAUUAGUCCGCUUGAUGACGUGGUACGCAGGACGU
rnacentral:ncRNA from 1 species